AAAGUUUACACUUCCUGUGGGGUACUAAGAAGUACUUUUCAAGUUACAGGGUACAAAAUCCUCUGGGGUAGCAGCUACUUAUGCGUGCCUUUUCUAAGACGGAUAGAGCCUUUGUCAUAAUUUGUAAAUGUGGUCUGCUGAAUAAUCUUCUGCACAGCAAAAUCUCCAGUUUUGAAAUCCUAGUGUUGGUACUUUUAGAGUAAAGUGUUAAAGUGGUGUUGAAUUAACACUAGCUAGUGUAAACAGCCCCCUCUGGCGGUAUAAAUACGCAGAGUUACCUUUAUUAACACUGUUGAGUGUUAUAAGUCACAUCCGGGACUCGUGUGGGCGCGCAUGACCCAUCUGAAAUAUUUUUUCACAGACACCAUUUUCUUUGCUCGCGAUGCGGCGCAUAUGAGGAUGGAAAACGGCGAAAUAAAGUGUUUAAUCUUAUUCAUAAAAUGUGUUUUAUAAUAUAUCGUUUUAUAACUAUAUUUAUUUGCUGUGCACAUAAACUUUUCUCAACGACAUUUCGUUUCAAUCGCUAAAAGAGAUAUUUUAUUUCACUCACGAUGGGGAGAAGACGGGGACUUUGGUUUUAUCAAAGGAAAACACCAUAAAUUUGUACUGCGGUGCACUGCAGACGCGGAGGCUGCUCAGAGAAGGCAGAGACCAGAAAGAGAUAUUUUCUUCACUCGAAGCGGAGGUUUAGGGGAAGUUGGUUUUUAACAAGGAAAACACCGAAAGCAGUGUUUUAUCUACGUGAAUUUACUCUUCCUUGUCCCUGAGGUUUAAUCAUCACGUGAACCAACACCCCCCCCCCCACUCAAAAUACGUUGCUGUGACUAUGAGACCAACAUGAACUGGUCAUCGCUGGUGAAAAUUUCUGUUAGGUAACUAAAAUCACAAGAGAUGGAUAUACAGGUAAGUCUCUCUCACACACACACACACACACACACUGUAAUCUUUCUCUCUCGCAAUCAGACGAAAGAAUAAUUC